CUACGGGACGCAGCAGUGGGGAAUAUUGCGCAAUGGGCGAAAGCCUGACGCAGCAACGCCGUGUGGGGGAUGAAGGUCUUCGGAUUGUAAACCUCUGUCAGGAGGGAAGAAGUGGUAUUUGUCUAAUAGGCAGAUACUUUGACGGUACCUCCAGAGGAAGCACCGGCUAACUCCGUGCCAGCAGCCGCGGUAAUACGGAGGGUGCAAGCGUUAUUCGGAAUAACUGGGCGUAAAGCGUACGUAGGCUGUCUGGUAAGUCAGGUGUGAAAGCCCACGGCUCAACCGUGGAAUUGCAUUUGAAACUGCUGGACUAGAAUCCGGGAGAGGGUAGCGGAAUUCCUGGUGUAGGAGUGAAAUCCGUAGAUAUCAGGAGGAACACCGGUGGCGAAGGCGGCUACCUGGUCCGGUAUUGACGCUGAGGUACGAAAGCGUGGGUAGCAAACAGGAUUAGAUACCCCGGUAGUC
rnacentral:rRNA from 1 species